rnacentral:tRNA from 1 species
UCAACUCAUCAGGCUCAUGACCUGAAGACUGCAGGUUCGAAUCCUGUCCCCGCCU